GGCCCAAAUGUGAAGUAGAGUAGAUUAGUGUGGUCAGCUGAUCCCACUGAUCUACUCUACUUCAAGUUUGCGCCC
rfam:Haemonchus contortus, ISE/inbred ISE, WGS project CAVP01000000 data, contig: Hcontortus_1183